ACGGAGGAUCCAAGCGUUAUCCGGAAUUAUUGGGUUUAAAGGGUCCGCAGGCGGUCUAUUAAGUCAGAGGUGAAAUCUUGCAGCUCAACUGUAAAAUUGCCUUUGAUACUGGUAGACUUGAGUCAUCGUGAAGUGGUUAGAAUGUGUGGUGUAGCGGUGAAAUGCAUAGAUAUCACACAGAAUACCAAUUGCGAAGGCAGAUCACUAACAAUGUACUGACGCUCAUGGACGAAAGCGUGGGGAGCGAACAGG
rnacentral:rRNA from 1 species